UUUGCCUUCGGGUGGGGAAUAACAGUCGGAAACGGCUGCUAAUACCGCAUAAUGCAGCGGCAUCAUAAGAUGACAGUUGUUAAAGCGGGGGAUCGUAAGACCUCGCGCCUGAAGAGAAGCCUGCGGCGGAUUAGGUAGUUGGUGAGGUAAUGGCUCACCAAGCCCGCGAUCCGUAACCGGCCUGAGAGGGCGGUCGGUCACACUGACACUGACAUACGGGUCAG
rnacentral:rRNA from 1 species